UUUUUUUUUACAGAAUUUGACAAUUUGUGCAGGCUUUUGUUCAUGAUGGAUCGACCUUAAAGUCUUAACGAUUACCCUUUUCAACAUGCAACACUUGGGAUGUGGUGCUCAAUCCUGCUAUUUUUUAGUCCAUUAAUUUUUAUGUGUUUUCACCUCAGACAUUUUACUAAUUUCAGUUGGUUUAUAACUAGAGAUGCACAUAAAUAACUUUGUUCUGGUUUUCAUAAAAGAAAUAUGGCACACACCCGGAUGGUUAUUGACUAUAUGCUGCAACCCAUUUUAUUAAGUUGGUCUUUCUUGACACCAUUUUCUAUUGCAGAUUAUUGAAGAUAUAUAGUUUAAGCAAGAGAAUGAGCAGAAGUGUGUUUGGGUGAGUCCCAAAUAAAACAUCUCACUUCUUGUUUUGGAAAUCAUCUAUGCUUAACUCCAAGAGGUCACUAUCUGAAGGGAUGGUACAUUGCGAUAUUUUUCUUCUGUCACUAAGCUUGACAACAUCUCACUUAUUGUUUUGGAAAUCAUAUAUGCUUAACUCCAAGAGGUCACUAUCUGAAGGGAUGGUACAUUGUGAUGUUUUUCUUCUGUCACUAAGCUUGAUAACAUCUCACCAACUGUAGCAGUAAUGUACUGAUUUUUUCUGUAGGUUGUGUUUGGCAAUCGAAUAGAAAUUUUGCUGCUGAGGUAUGAAGGUAAGGACAAAAAUAUUGCCUGUUUUUUGUUUGCCUGGUUGUGUUCAUAGUCCAUUUUAAGCCCAUAUAAUUUUAUGUGGUUUUGAACUGUAUUCACCUGCAUCUAGAAAUAGAAGUUUAAUCUUCUUUCAUCCUUUGAGUGUGUGCUAAAGUUUCUGAUACCUGGAAGUUUUUAUCACAUCAUGCAAUAAUACAAAAAUCAGAAAAGUUCAGAUAUUAUGCAUCAUUUUUUUGGUAAAGACAUUACACAUCGCCUCCCGGGGUAUCUCAAAGGCUAUUACAACAAUUUGAU
rnacentral:lncRNA from 1 species